AGUGAACGCUGGCGGUAGGCCUAACACAUGCAAGUCGAACGGCAGCACAGUAAGAGCUUGCUCUUACGGGUGGCGAGUGGCGGACGGGUGAGGAAUACAUCGGAAUCUACUUUUUCGUGGGGGAUAACGUAGGGAAACUUACGCUAAUACCGCAUACGACCUACGGGUGAAAGUAGGGGAUCUUCGGACCUUGCGCGAUUGAAUGAGCCGAUGUCGGAUUAGCUAGUUGGCGGGGUAAAGGCCCACCAAGGCGACGAUCCGUAGCUGGUCUGAGAGGAUGAUUAGCCACACUGGAAUUGAGACACGGUCCAGACUCCUACGGGAGGCAGCAGUGGGGAAUAUUGGACAAUGGGCGCAAGCCUGAUCCAGCCAUACCGCGUGGGUGAAGAAGGCCUUCGGGUUGUAAAGCCCUUUUGUUGGGAAAGAAAAGCAGCAGGUUAAUACCCCGCUGUUCUGACGGUACCCAAAGAAUAAGCACCGGCUAACUUCGUG
rnacentral:rRNA from 1 species